UACGGAGGGUGCGAGCGUUGUUCGGAAUCACUGGGCGUAAAGCGCGUGUAGGCGGCCUUUUAAGUCUGAUGUGAAAGCCCGGGGCUUACCCCCGGAAGUGCAUUGGAAACUGGGAGGCUGGAGUACCGGAGAGGAAGGUGGAAUUCCUGGUGUAGCGGUGAAGUGCGUAGAUAUCAGGAGGAACACCGGUGGCGAAGGCGGCCUUCUGGACGGAUACUGACGCUGAGACGCGAAAGCGUGGGGAGCAAACAGG
rnacentral:rRNA from 1 species